AGGGUUUGAUCAUGGCUCAGAUUGAACGCUGGCGGUAGGCUUAACACAUGCAAGUCGAGCGGUAACAGACAUUUUGAUUUUGCUUGCAAAAUCUCGUGCUGACGAGCGGCGAACGGGUGAGUAACGCGUAGGAAUCUACCUAGUAGAAGGGGAUAGCCCGAGGAAACUCGGAUUAAUACCGUAUACGUCCUUAGGGAGAAAGAGGGCUUAGCUUUGAUGCUCUCGCUAUUAGAUGAGCCUGCGUAAGAUUAGCUUGUUGGUGAGGUAAAGGCUCACCAAGGCGACGAUCUUUAGCUGGUCUGAGAGGACGAUCAGCCACAUUGGGACUGAGACACGGCCCAGACUCCUACGGGAGGCAGCAGUGGGGAAUAUUGGACAAUGGGCGCAAGCCUGAUCCAGCCAUACCGCGUGUGUGAAGAAGGCCUUCGGGUUGUAAAGCACUUUAAGUAAGGAAGAAAAGAGUAUUGUUAAUACCAAUACUCCGUGACAUUACUUACAGAAUAAGGACCGGCUAAUUCCGUGCCAGCCGCCGCGGUAAUUC
rnacentral:rRNA from 1 species